rnacentral:tRNA from 1 species
UGUGUAGGGGCUCAGUGGUAGAGUGCUUGCCUUGCAUGCAUGAGGCCCUGGGUUCAAUUCCUUGUACCACAU